UGGAAGUAAAAAAUCGUAACAAGGUCUCCGUUGGUGAACCAGCGGAGGGAUCAUUACCGAGUUUACAACUCCCAAACCCCUGUGAACAUACCACUUGUUGCCUCGGCGGAUCAGCCCGCUCCCGGUAAAACGGGACGGCCCGCCAGAGGACCCCUAAACUCUGUUUCUAUAUGUAACUUCUGAGUAAAACCAUAAAUAAAUCAAAACUUUCAACAACGGAUCUCUUGGUUCUGGCAUCGAUGAAGAACGCAGCAAAAUGCGAUAAGUAAUGUGAAUUGCAGAAUUCAGUGAAUCAUCGAAUCUUUGAACGCACAUUGCGCCCGCCAGUAUUCUGGCGGGCAUGCCUGUUCGAGCGUCAUUUCAACCCUCAAGCACAGCUUGGUGUUGGGACUCGCGUUAAUUCGCGUUCCUCAAAUUGAUUGGCGGUCACGUCGAGCUUCCAUAGCGUAGUAGUAAAACCCUCGUUACUGGUAAUCGUCGCGGCCACGCCGUUAAACCCCAACUUCUGAAUGUUGACCUCGGAUCAGGUAGGAAUACCCGCUGAACUUAAGCAUAUCAAA
rnacentral:rRNA from 1 species